rnacentral:rRNA from 1 species
GAUGAACGCUGGCGGCGUGCCUAAUACAUGCAAGUCGAGCGAACGGACGAGAAGCUUGCUUCCCUGCUGUUAGCGACGGACGGGUGAGUGACACAUAGAUCACCUACCUAUAUGACUGGGAUAACUUCGGAAAACCAGAGCUAAUACCGCAUAAUAUUUUCUACCGCCUGGAUCAAAAGUGCAAGACGCCCUUGCUGUCACUUAUAGAUGAUUUCGGGCUGCAUUAGCUAGUUGGUAAGGUAACGGCUUACCAAGGCGACGAUGCAUAGCCGACCUGAGAGGGUGAUCGGCCACACUGGAACUGAGACACGGUCCAGACUCCUACGGGAGGCAGCAGUGGGGAAUCUUCCGCAAUGGGCGAAAGCCUGACGGAGCAACGCCGCGUGAGUGAUGAAGGUCUUCGGAUCGUAAAACUCUGUUAUUAGGGAAGAACAUAUGUGGAAGAAACUGUGCACAUCUUGACGGUACCUAAUCAGAAAGCCACGGCUAACUACGUG